rnacentral:rRNA from 1 species
UACAGAGGUCCCAAGCGUUGUUCGGAUUCACUGGGCGUAAAGGGUGCGCAGGUGGGUUGGCAAGUUCGAUGUGAAAGCCCCGGGCUUAACCCGGGAAUGGCAUUGGAUACUGCUGAUCUGGAGGAUCGGAGGGGGGACUGGAAUUCUUGGUGUAGCAGUGAAAUGCGUAGAUAUCAAGAGGAACACCAGUGGCGAAGGCGAGUCCCUGGACGAUACCUGACACUGAGGCACGAAAAGCCAAGGGAGCAAACAGG